rnacentral:rRNA from 1 species
UCAGACGAUGCGUCAUGCAUAUCAAUAAGCGGAGGAAAAGAAACUAACAAGGAUUCCCUUAGUAACGGCGAGUGAAGCGGGAAGAGCUCAAAUUUGAAAUCUUCAAGGUUUUACCUUGACGAAUUGUAGUUUAAAGAAGUGUUUUCUGUUGAAGUUUUGGUAAAAGUUCUUUGGAAUAGGACAUCAUAGAGGGUGAGAAUCCCGUAUUUGACCAUUAUUUUCAGCUGUGUGAUACACUUUCAAAGAGUCGGAUUGUUCGGGAAUGCAGUCCAAAAUGGGUGGUAAAUUUCAUCUAAAGCUAAAUAUUGGCGAGAGACCGAUAGCGAACAAGUACCGUGAGGGAAAGAUGAAAAGAACUUUGAAAAGAGAGUUAAACAGUACGUGAAAUUGUCAAAAGGGAAGCGUUUGACACCAGUGUUGUUUUCUCGAAAAUCAAUUAAAAAGAGUUAGAUUUUGUUGUGUAUUGACCUUAACAGCUUGCAUUUCAAUUUUCUUGCUUUUUUUAAUGCACUUUUCGUUUAACAAGUCAACAUCAGUUUCUUUUGUUGUAAAAAGGUCAUUGGAAGGUGGCUUUCUUUUCGGAGAAAGUGUUUAUAGCCUUUGACUCCUGCAAUCGGAGAGACUGAGGUCUGCAGCGUAGAUCCUUCGGGGUUAGAUACAUUUGUGCUAAGUUAUAGCUUUUUAUAGACAACUUGUUGACUAUGAUUAGUCUUGUAGCUUACUCGCUUAUGCUAUUUUACCUACGCUUAGGAUGUUGAGUCGUAGAGCACGCAG